AUGGAGAGGGCUAGGAAGAGACAGUGCUCAGGGAAUUCUUACCUAAGGGAGGGCGACGUUAAUACCCGCUACUUCCAUCUUCGCGCCAACGGUUGUCAUCGACAAAACUUCAUCCGACGCCUCUCCCAUCAUGGAGGGUGGGUGAGCACAUAUGAGGAUAAGGAGAGUGUGUGGUCCAUGAUCACUUCUCGGCAAUGUUUAUGA
rnacentral:rRNA from 1 species